rnacentral:lncRNA from 1 species
GACACAAACACAACCUCAAAUUUAGACCCACUUCGGUUCAGAUGCUCGUAUGCAUUAAUUAGUAUCUCUGUGAAGUUCCGACAUGGUGGGUACCAGUUGGCUGAGAAGUAGAGUCCGACCACCUUGCCUUCGAGUUCAGAAACUUGCACCUGCAACAUAAGAUAAUACCCAGAUAAAAAAAUAGCUCAUGCAUGUUUUCAAAUUCUGUGGUGAAUGAAAUGAUACCAAAUUUUAAUGAACCAAUGGGCAAAUUACAAGUUACAAUAAUAGAAUUCAUUAAUCCUAAAAAUUGUGAAAACAACAUGUUACCAGAUUUUCCCAAGUGUAGAAUAGUUGUGGAUAAGCCACGUGUUGUAUCUAUCUAUAGCGUAAGUGCUAAGGCUAAAGAGGAGAAUAAGGUGGCGACACAUGUCCACUGAGCUUGGCUGGUUCACGGACGACCACUGUGUAGGAAGUGGGAACCCAUGCUGAUUAAGACUGCAUACAUUUUUAGUCAUGUGUAGGUCAUGAAGAAGAACCAGCAUCACCACCUCUAUCCCCGGAAAACGACACCCACUUCCCCUAGCUACCACCAACAAGACCACAAAAGCAAGAAGCAGCGGUGGCUCGGAGAAGGAUAUUAUCUACCAUGGAAACUUCCUUAUGGCACUGUUGGAUUGCCGACAAGAUAAAGAUGAAUAAGAACAGAAUGAUUCAGAUGUUAGCACAUUUGAUUAACCAUCUAUAAAUCCACACCCUAUGGAUUCACUAUUCGGAGAUUUGCACGUAUCCAUCUCCUCAGUUACUAUUAUGAUUUAGAUUCUAAUGAAUAGAGUAUGAAAUGAAAUAAAACUCAUGAAGAAACAUGUAUUUUUUUCUAUCCUCACCCUGUUUUCAGCUUGCAUCUAAUUUAAUUAAUCGGAAGUUGCUUGAAAUUAAUCCGUUAAAAAUUAUCUAAGCUUUCAUGCAUUUGGAAGGAACGUUUAGAUGAAAAACUCAUAUAAUUAAACCAUUUUCAGUUACUCUAACCACGAGAAGUGAGAUUAUUUUCCUGAGAAAAUUAUGUGUUUAUUAUUAUUAUUCAUGAGUAGAAGAAUGAUCUUAGACCUUGAAUAUGGUAAAAAGAAAAACUCGAUCCAAGUCCUGAGAUCAGCAAAUUAAAACACUAACAUAUGGCAUAUAGACGUACGAUCAGAAAAACUAAGAUAUAUUAAUAAAUAAAAAAGAAAGUUGACAGAAUAUUAGCUUGGAAAGUACUGAGAGUCUGAGGCUAGUUAACAGCAUCCCACCAUCUAACAUGAAAUGAAAGAAGAAAUCUAUAGAUUAUUUGUCAAAAGAAAAUAUCAAGAAUCACAAUUUUCAACAAAGAAAACUACUUUCUCAGUGUGCACUUGAAGUGAAAAGGAAGGAAAGAAAACCUGAGUUCCAUCAGGAGAGAGAAGAAAAUCACGAUCUUUAGAAGCCAAAAGAGAAGAGAAUCUAGAGCUUGAAAUAUUUUUCUCACCGUCCCCGUUUGUUUUGGCUCCAGCCUGUUUCAGGUUCCUGUAAUCUUCCUCCAAGCUCAUCACCUCCUUUCUCAUCACCCC